rnacentral:tRNA from 1 species
GCUUUCGUCGUGUAAUGGUCAGCACACUCGGCGCAUAUUCGAGAGGACCAAGGUUCGAGUCCCGGCGACGGUA